UCGAGAAUCAUUCGCAAUGGGCGAAAGCCUGACGAUGCGACGCCGCGUGAGCGAUGAAGGCCUUCGGGUUGUAAAGCUCUUUCGCCUGGGAACAAGGAAAGUUAGUUAAUACCUAAUGACUUGAGGGUACCAGGUAAAGAAGCACCGGCUAACUCCGUGCCAGCAGCUGCGGUAAUACGGAGGGUGCAAGCAUUAAUCGGAUUUAUUGGGCGUAAAGGGCGCGUAGGCGGGAAUAUAAGUCAGUUGUUAAAGCCUGGGGCUCAACCUCAGAGAAGCAACUGAAACUGUAUUUCUUGAGGGCGGGAGGAGAAAACGGAAUUCCACAAGUAGCGGUGAAAUGCGUAGAUAUGUGGAAGAACACCUGUGGCGAAAGCGGUUUUCUAUCUCGUUCCUGACGCUGAGGCGCGAAAGCAAGGGGAGCAAACAG
rnacentral:rRNA from 1 species